rnacentral:tRNA from 1 species
UGCAUCGGCCGGGAAUCGAACCCGGGCAGGCGAGCAUUCUACCACUGAACCACCGAUGG